GUUGGAAGUUGGGUGAUCGCUUGAGAAAUUGAGAGGAAAGUCCGGGCUCCAAAGGAAUAAGGUGCUGGAUAACGUCCAGCUGAGGAAACUCAAGGGAAAGUGCCACAGAAAAUAUACCGCCUCGUGAGGGGUAAGGGUGAAAUGGUGCGGUAAGAGCGCACCACAACACAAGCGAUUGGGUUGGUAAGGUAAACCCCACCAGGAGCAAGACCAAAUAGAGACGAAUGUUACUUAAGUAACAAGCAUAUUCCUUGGCUUCGUCUGGGUAGGUUGCAUGAGAGUCUUGGUAACAAGGCUCCUAGAUAGAUGGUCACCAAGUAUCGCGAGAUAUGAACAGAACCCGGCUUAUAAACUUCCAACAAAC
rnacentral:RNase_P_RNA from 1 species